rnacentral:lncRNA from 7 species
GACUGUGUGUCUUAGUACAGUAUUGAUUAAAGGUGUGACUGUACUAAUUUACUCAAGUAUUCGCGAGCUUCUGAAUAGCUAGGAGAUGCCACUCAGAAAAUGAUGGUGCACAGCUGUUAAGUUCUUCCUAGUGCUGGAGUUUAUUCUAGUCUUUGUAUAAGAACAGAUAUUCUCCUUUCAGGUUUGUGUGUCUACCCGUAGUCACAAUAUAGUAACUUUCUGCCUAUUGCUUCUGCAAACUGUUCAGCACUUUGACAGAGGAGAUGAGUGGAGAGCACUUCUAGGGGAUGCUUCAGUAGCAGGUGCAGAACUCUGUAAGAUGUGUAAAACAGAAUGGCCACGGGAUGGCACUGGUGCCUGAGGAAUGACUGAGAUGAGCCGCGAUAGCACUGUGCGUACCCCCGGUCCGAAAGCGAGCCUGGCCACAGUACUGGGUGGUCAAAGGGUCCUAGGAUUUGAAGCUGACAGUCCAUAAGCAAUGAGCAGGAGCAGUGAGCUACCAAAGCCAUUCUCGAGAGCCAGUUUGCAAGAGUUCUUCAGGAGGCCAAGAUCCAUCUUCCCUCUCUAUAGCAUUUCAACUUCUGUUUGCUCACUAGGUGGCACAAAUGCUUAAGAGAUUGAGUGGGAAAAGUGUUCUCUGCAAUUUUGCCCU